rnacentral:rRNA from 1 species
CCUACGGGAGACAGCAGUGAGGAAUAUUGGUCAAUGGACGAGAGUCUGAACCAGCCAAGUAGCGUGAAGGAUGACUGCCCUCUGGGUUGUAAACUUCUUUUAUAUGGGAAUAAAAUGUUCCACGUGUGGGAUUUUGUAUGUCCCAUAUGAAUAAGGAUCGGCUAACUCCGUGCCAGCAGCCGCGGUAAUACGGAGGAUCCGAGCGUUAUCCGGAUUGACUGGGUGUAAAGGGAGCGUAGGUGGAUUGUUAAGUCAGUUGUGAAAGUUUGCGGCUCAACCGUAAAAUUGCAUUUGAAACUGGCAGUCUUGAGUACUGGAGAGGUGGGCGGAAUUCGUUGUGUAGCGGUGAAAUGCGUAGAUAUGACGAAGAACACCGAUGGCGAAGGCAGCUCACUGGACUGCAACUGACACUGAGGCUCGAAAGUGUGGGGAUCAAACAGGAUUAGAUACCCGUGUAGUC